GGUAUGUCGAUUGAGGACAUUAAAAAGGCAUUUCCCAUACCAAUGGGACCCCCGGGUGCGGUGGUGAGUGUCAUAUUGAUAGCAUUGUGAAUACAAGCUUCUUUAUCAAAUAAUCAACAUAAAAAGGCUGGGCUUUUAUGUUUUUCCAUGCAUUUAUAUUGCACUGACUUUCAGUUCUUACGUGCGUGUAUGUAUGUUUCUGUGUUUGUAGGGUCCUCCUGGGAUGAAGGUAGAGUAUAGCUAACCAAAAAUCCUUAAAGAAAUGAAACACUUCUCAGAUGAUAUGUCAUUUUUCUCCUUUGGUUGGCAGGGAGAGAAAGGAGACAUGGGUUUGAAAGGAGAGAAGGUAUCAAAGCUUUCUACAUCUCAUUGAUUGCACAAGUUAUCUCCAUAAAUCUAUGCUGCAGAAGCAAUGAUAGCUGGCACUGUAUUAUUUAACAGGGUGAUGCUGGCCCACCGGGGAGAGCUGUUGAAAUGAAGGUUUGCAUGGUUACUCAAUGCCUAUCCAUAAUUUACUUCAUUACAAAACUGAUAUUUGGUGGUGUAAACAUAUUUUUAUCUUCUAUUUCAGGACAUUGAAGGCUUGUUUGAUUCAUAUGGUAUUAAACUCUCGCUGCUGAAGGCCUUGAUUGACAGGCUGCUUCAGGAUGGAAUGGAGGAGCUUCUUCAUGAGAUCAGCACCAUCAGACGAGUGAAAGGAGACAGACAGGAGCCGGACUCAAACGUCAUCACCGAAUACACCAGCUCAGUAAAGUACAGUCACCCACAAGAGUCAUUACCUGAUACACAUUUGACUGAGGAAGAGACUGAUUUUGAAGAGGGGCAGAUGCCUGAGCCCAGUCCUAAGCCUGUUGUACAAAAAGAAGUGGGUCCUAUCCUUUCGAACAUCUCUACUAUUCACAAAAAGGCUAACCAGAGUAAAACCAAAGACAAGCUGGUAGAUGUUGAAGAAAAGAAACUUGUGGAGACUAACUUCAGUGAUGUAACACCUUUGAAAUUUCUCCAAACCAACACUUCCUCUGAGAGGCUGGGCUCUGGGAAGGUAGAGGUAAGUAUGGAGACAGUUUUCCACAGCCAUGAGGACACGGGGAAGAAAACAUCUGGAGAGAAGAAGAAAGGCAGAGAUAGGGGAAAGGGCAAAGGAAAUAAAGGACGUCAAAAACGACAAAGGAAACGUUUGGUAAAUGUUUCAUCAUCGCACCUUACCUGA
rnacentral:lncRNA from 1 species